CAUUGAGUAUCAUGGGAAGUGUAGUCUCUGCAAUCCUUCCAAUUCCUAGUUAGAUUGUUUCGGUAGGCUUUGAGAGAUCAAAGCUGUUUGUCCAAACCAGUUGUAAAUUUUGAAUUACUGUAGUCUGUAAUUGUCUUCAGAUUCCGAAGACUGGCUAUCUUCACUUUACAAACAGAACUUGGCAUGAGCCUGUUAGAGCUGAAUUCUCUGCUUUUUAACACCAGGAUUGAUUCUCCCAAGCAACCUCCUUCCAGAAGCCAGGACAUAACAGGAUGAAGACAUGACAUUUCUCAAAAGACUAUCAAAAGGCUUUGGGACAUUAUUCAGUGAUCAAAACCAGAUACUUCUAACCCUUGAACCACCAUUCAAGAUUUCAAGUCUAUCUUUGCAAAAGCUUUCCCUUCCCAACAUACUCUAAAUGUUUGCCAAUUUAGAGUAAAUUAGUAAUGAUAAUAAUAAUAAUAAUAGCUACCAUUUAUUGAGCACCUACUCUAUUGUGUGCCAGGCACUGUGCUAGGCACUUUUCGUACAAUAUCUAAUUUAAAUCCUCACAACAACCCUGUGAGGUAGGUAUUAUUAUCAUCAUUUUACAUACAGGAGGACUGAGGCUCCAGAGAGGUUAAAUAACUAUUACACAACCAAAAAUGGUAGAGCUGGAAUUCAAACCCAAACCAACCUGACUCCAAAUCCCGUGCUCUGUAAAUUAAGAAGGAGGAGAGGAACAGCUGAACUUCAGAAAGAGUGCCAGAGUGGAAGGGUGUGAUAUGCUGACUAAUACCAUGUAGGAAGAAGGAAUUUAAGCCCAUAAAUGUUCCUGGCUGGUGGGCCUAUGCAGAUUGUGGUGAAAGUCACCAGGGCAGGGAUUCAAGAGGAAUAAUACUGGGCUAGGGACAUAUGGACAUGCCUCUGGAGAUGUCCAGUGGGUAAUAAAGAGAUCUAAAGAGUGGGGGAAGCUGGGGUUGGAAAUUCAUGUUUAGAAAUGGCCAGCAUAUCAAAAGCAAUUGAAAAGAGAAUGGAUGACACUAUUUUGGCAAAGAAAGAGCAGUGAAUCAAAGAUGGGAUCAUGGAACGCUGGCAUCCAAUGCGUGAGCACUGUAGCGGGGUUCUUGAGAAUAUGGCAGAGUCAGGGUAUUGGAGACAGGUAAGACUGAGUCAUGCUUCUAACAUAGCCCUUUGUUCAUUAAAAUCCUAGGAGAUAUUUGUUAAAUGAAUGAAUGUCAAAAUAUCCCUACCUUAGUUUGCCCUCAAGCGUGGGCUAAGGAUAUCUUGAUGGGGGAGGCAUUUUCUGGGGACUGAACCCCAGGGCACACUAGGCAAGCACUCUACUACAGAGCUACAUCUCCGGCUCUGACACCCUUGCCCUGAAAAUGAGUCUGGGUAAGUCAGUACAGUUUGUAGUGGAGUUUUAAAGAGAAAAUUGUGAUGUAAGGUGGAAAACAAUUUUAAAAAGAACUGGAACCGUCUGGAAGUCCCAGUGGUCCUCUUGUGUGACUUCAACGGUCUGUGCUUCCUGCCUCUGCUCUCAGGAAUCAUGGUGAAGAUGAAGGCAGGGCAGCAGAUAAGGACAUGUGGGGGCAGGAGCGAAGUAGAGAACCUGUCAGUUACUGGAGAGCCCUCUGUGGAGCCCCAACUUGGGCUUUAUCCAAGUACCAAUGUAUUGAGAACGUGUAUGGGAGGCUCCAGGGCAAGCAGGCAGGGGAGAGGGCAGUUAGGGACCAGCCCCACUAUCUAGGAGAUGACUUGGAGAAAGGGUCCAGCCCUCUGGGCAGGGACCAGCCCUGAGGCUCAAGUAAACUUGCAUAGACGUGUGUGUGUGUGUGUGUGUGUGUGUGUGUGUGUGUGUGUGUCCGUAUGUCUGUCUGUCUGAGGGAUGGAAAGAAAACUUCUCUACUUCUCUCUGGAAAGAACAUGGUCUGUCAUGCUUGGGUGAAGCUGUGGUCCUUCCCAGAAG